GUUGGGAUGAUGGAAGCAGAGGUUGGAGUAAUGUGCUUUGAAGAUGGAAAAAGAGAGCAUGAACUAAGAAAUAUAGGUGACUCUAGAAGCUAAGAAAGCUACACAUCUGAACACACUCCUCUUGGUGCCAGAGACUCCUGCAACAGCAAUGUGUUCCUCAUUCUCUCACGGAACUCCUUACACCAUUUAGGCAUCAUUAAUCGCACUGCUCCAUCAGCUUACAUCACAUCAAGGAGCUGGUCAGCUGGAACUUUGCGUCCAAGAGUUGACAUCAGUUUCUAAACUAGCCCCAGUAUAUGUAUCAGAAAAUAAACUACAAGUGAAAGAGUAUGGAAAACAGCUUGGUCCCAAUUUUAAAACACUUAAUUAAAAAAUAUCUAACUUG
rnacentral:lncRNA from 1 species